rnacentral:rRNA from 1 species
AUUGAACGCUGGCGGCAGGCUUAACACAUGCAAGUCGAGCGGAGAUGAGGUGCUUGCACCUUAUCUUAGCGGCGGACGGGUGAGUAAUGCUUAGGAAUCUGCCUAUUAGUGGGGGACAACAUUCCGAAAGGAAUGCUAAUACCGCAUACGUCCUACGGGAGAAAGCAGGGGAUCUUCGGACCUUGCGCUCAUAGAUGAGCCUAAGUCGGAUUAGCUAGGUGGUGGGGUAAGGGCCUACCAAGGCGACGAUCUGUAGCGGGUCUGAGAGGAUGAUCCGCCACACUGGGACUGAGACACGGCCCAGACUCCUACGGGAGGCAGCAGUGGGGAAUAUUGGACAAUGGGGGGAACCCUGAUCCAGCCAUGCCGCGUGUGUGAAGAAGGCCUUAUGGUUGUAAAGCACUUUAAGCGAGGAGGAGGCUACUGAGACUAAUACUCUUGGAUAGUGGACGUUACUCGCAGAAUAAGCACCGGCUAACUCUGUGCCAGCCGCCGCGGUAAUAC